rnacentral:rRNA from 1 species
GACGAACGCUGGCGGCGUGCUUAACACAUGCAAGUCGAACGAGACCUUCGGGUCUAGUGGCGCACGGGUGCGUAACGCGUGGGAAUCUGCCCUUCGGUUCGGAAUAACUCAGGGAAACUUGAGCUAAUACCGGAUAAUGACGUAAGUCCAAAGAUUUAUCGCCGAAGGAUGGGCCCGCGUAGGAUUAGCUUGUUGGUGGGGUAAUGGCCCACCAAGGCGACGAUCCUUAGCUGGUCUGAGAGGAUGAUCAGCCACACUGGGACUGAGACACGGCCCAGACUCCUACGGGAGGCAGCAGUGGGGAAUAUUGGACAAUGGGCGAAAGCCUGAUCCAGCAAUGCCGCGUGAGUGAUGAAGGCCUUAGGGGUUGUAAAGCUCUUUUACCCGGGAUGAUAAUGACAGUACCGGGAAAAUAAGCUCCGGCUAACUCCGUGCCAGCAGCCGCGGUAAU